rnacentral:rRNA from 1 species
CCUACGGGUGGCAGCAGUGGGGAAUAUUGGGCAAUGGAGGAAACUCUGACCCAGCAACGCCGCGUGAAUGAUGAAGGUUUUCGGAUUGUAAAGUUCUUUUAUCAGGGAAGAAGAAAGUGACGGUACCUUACGAAUAAGCCUCGGCUAACUACGUGCCAGCAGCCGCGGUAAUACGUAGGAGGCGAGCGUUAUCCGGAAGUACUGGGUGUAAAGGGAGCGUAGGUGGUUUGGCAAGUCAGUAGCGAAACUCCAAGGCUCAACCGUGGAACUACUACUGAAACUGUUGGACUUGAGUGCAGGAGAGGCAAGCGGAAGUCCUAGUGUAGCGGGGGAAUGCGUAGAUAUUAGGAGGAACACCAGGUGCGAAGGCGGGUUGCUAGACUGUAACUGACGCUGAGGCACGAAAGCGUGGGGAGCAAACAGGAUUAGAUACCCUUGUAGUC